GCCGCGAUCGCGUAACCUGGUAUCGCAGUGGAUUGCUAAUCCACGCCCGUAAGGGCUUCUGGGUUCAAAUCCCAGUCGCGGCG
rnacentral:tRNA from 1 species